GUGGGACAUGAUUUUGGCGGUGCCUGUAUAUCCUUUGCGAUGGAGCGCCAUCCCCUUAAGGUUUCGAAAGCUGUGUUUGUUGCUGCUGCAAUGCUCACUAGUGGACAAAGUGCCCUUGAUAUGUUCUCACAAAAGACAGAUUCAAAUGACCUUAUGAGACAGUCUCAAAUAUUUAUUUAUGCCAAUGGGAACGACAAGUCUCCAACUGCUAUUGAUUUGGACAAGUCACUCCUCA
rnacentral:misc_RNA from 1 species